CUCUCUGAGUCAGGUCAGCACAGAGUGGAUGUGUGAGUCCAGAGAGACUGUGCUAUUCUGUGGGCAUUCUGGGCGGCUUAGCACUUCAAUUCUCCAACACGGUGUCCAUCUUUCUAAUCUGAGAAAUUAGUGUCUCCCUUGUCAGUUCCUUCCUUUGCCUGAAUAAAAACAUAACAAAUGGUCACUACAUUAACUGGCCCAAGCUGUCACGGGGAAGGGCUCUGGCCUGCAGUCUUGUCAUUGCCUGUUGUACACGCGGUGUGAGCACACCUCAUGAGGCCAUCGGUACUUUUCAGGUGGGUGUGAUGGAAGAGAAGGUAAAACUGUCCAAUCUUAGGGAUGUGGACUCCACAGGCAGCCUGCCCCAGAAGUACCAAGAAUUGCUGAAAGCCAUGCAGGGCAAAGUAGAGCUCAUCGACCAGCUGGAGGCACAGCUGGAGAAGCAGAAGCAGAUGAGAGCCGAGGAAGCAAAAAUGGUUCAGAAGAAAGCUGCAAAGAUCAAGGAGUGGGUGGCACUAAAGUUAACGGAGGUCAGUCGGAAGCUCCGCUCAGGGGCCUGGCCGGAGGUGUAGCUGGGCUU
rnacentral:lncRNA from 1 species